CAGUCGCCACGGUAAUACGGAGGGGGCUAGCGUUGUUCGGAAUUACUGGGCGUAAAGCGCACGUAGGCGGCUUUGUAAGUCAGAGGUGAAAGCCUGGAGCUCAACUCCAGAAUUGCCUUUGAGACUGCAUCGCUUGAACGUCGGAGAGGUGAGUGGAAUUCCGAGUGUAGAGGUGAAAUUCGUAGAUAUUCGGAAGAACACCAGUGGCGAAGGCGGCUCACUGGACGACUGUUGACGCUGAGGUGCGAAAGCGUGGGGAGCAAACAGGAUUAGAUACCCCCGUAGUCCCUGUCUCUUAUAC
rnacentral:rRNA from 1 species